AAACGGGGAAAAAAAGCAUAAUUUCCUGUAGUGAUCAACAGCAUAAAUGUAAGUUAAUGACAUUCCUGUCUCUCAGGAGAGCUCAGCGCCAGGCUCCUAUGAUGAACAUCAGAUUCCAGAUUGAUCUAGCCCAUGGAGACUUCUUCCUCAUGGUGACAUCUUCAGCAAAAGCAUCAAUGAGUACUGAGUAUGAAGUAAAAGGGUUAGUGGAUCAAGACGCUGCUGUAAACACUGAUGUUGCCAUCCAUCUCCACCAAAAUGUGGAACCAAAACCGAAAAAUGUGCAGAUUGAAAGAAGAAGCUCGUUCACACUAAUGACCAAUAACAGAAGCUCGCAUUUCACCGUGAAUCACAAGUGUUUGGCUGCAAACAAACUGGAAAACGGGAUCUGAAACCUGAGCUCGGCCACCCUACACAUUACACGCGCUGCACCUUUAACCACACGUCCAGAUGAAGGUUUACAGUUUAACUUUUAAUCUGUUCUGCUCCCCGUCGGGUUUGACCUUUUUUUUUUUUUCUUGUUGCGUUUCUCAGCAAUGAGCAGCAGCUUAAAAAGGAAACGUCCUUUCUCGCUUCACUUCCAGGCACAAACAGAAGAGGAGGGAAGAAGGUGCCUGCAGUGUUUUUCUUUGGAUUCACCAAAAAAAAAGAAAAAACAAACACAUUCCUCCAACUUUGAUUGUUUGAAAGGAAGUCAAACCUUCAGAGCUUCCUGGUUGGCUGAAAGCAGCUGCAGAGGUUGGAAAGGACCGGUCCAAGUCCAGAACUAAAUCAAGAGCAAAACCCAGAACUAGUCAGCCGGACCACCUCUGGAGGAAACAUCUACCCUCACAUCAGGUCCCAGAGCCACAAAAUGUGAUGAUGGAGGCCCCUCUCUCACCCCCUCCCUCCCUCUGGCCUCGCCCCUCUCCUCCCUGGUUCAGGGAUGCUGGCUUUGGACCAGGCCCCUUCCUCCCUCACCUAAAGCCUCCCAGUCACAGCAAACCGCUUCCUGCUGGUUUGGAGUCAGUCUGCUGGAGGGAAACAAAGCAGCGAUCAGACUCUGCAGUGCGGCUCGGAGGAGAGAGAGCGGAGCGCUGAUCAGAGGCUCACUGCAGCUGAUGGACGAGCAGAAAGUAAAGCAGCUCAGAGACGCUUAUUCCCGCACUUCACUGCGACCCCCGCGCAUCUUCAGCCCCGCAAUGCACGCACACAAAAAAAAAAAAAAAAAAAAAAAAA